AUCUUUUUUAAUGGCUGUAUUACAUUUUUGAGCUCAUCAUGAGAUAAAGUUAACGUGGAACUUUUGAGUCAGCUUAUUUUGGAGUCGAGUGGGAUCUACAGUUAGUACUAAGAAAGACACUAACCAGUAAAAAAUUUAGGCAUCGCCAUUUUGAAGGUAAAUCCCCGAAAACGUUUUUUAAAUUCGGAAACAUGUUUACAACACUACAAAAGAUGUACUUAACUGGCCAGAUUAGUAGCGUCGUAAAUAAAUCGUGGAAAACUUUAAUUAACAUAUAAGAGUGGCGAAAUUAUAACUAAAACUGUAAACAUUUCAACAUCAAAACUUUGUUCAAUCGGUCCCAUUAUUGGAGGCGUUAUUAUAAUUGUAAAUUUUGUGCCAAGUGGUUACUCAGGAUUUCUAAGAAUAAUAAACAGUAACAAAGUUCAUCAAUCAUAGUUGUACGCAGAUCACAGCCUUGGAAGUAAAUUUCCUCUUACAAGCAAGAAUAACCACCGAAAUCGAACCCGCUGUAUUUCAAACUGCAUUUUCCUGAAAGAAGACAUCUGAUAACGUCUCGAUUCCACUAUCCAGCUGUACUGAGAUGCUAAAAACAACUUAAAAUCGUAGUCAAGACCAACAGUACCAGUACUUACCAUGUGGAGGCUUUUGGUUCUGUUACCCCUUUUACUUCCUACAGCCUCUGCAACGAAGCAGCUACCAGAACUGUUUAUGACAACAUUUACCACCCUACUCCAGCGCCAUUAUGACGACUGUGUCCACGAGAUCGGUAUAGGUCCUGAGGUACCGUCAAAAAUCUUUGCGGA